rnacentral:rRNA from 1 species
AGAGUUUGAUCCUGGCUCAGAAUCAACGCUGGCGGCGUGCCUCAGACAUGCAAGUCGAACGAUUAAAGCUCUCUUCGGAGAGUGCAUAGAGUGGCGCACGGGUGAGUAACACGUAAGUAAUCUACCCUCGAGUGGGGAAUAACGUCCGGAAACGGACGCUAAUACCGCAUAAUGCAGCGGCACCGCAAGGUGACAGUUGUUAAAGGAGAAAUUCGCUUGAGGAGGAGCUUGCGGCAGAUUAGCUAGUUGGUAAGGUAAUGGCUUACCAAGGCUACGAUCUGUAACCGGUCUAAGAGGACGGUCGGUCACACUGACACUGAAUAACGGGUCAGACUCCUACGGGAGGCAGCAGUCGGGAAUUUUGGGCAAUGGGCGAAAGCCUGACCCAGCAACGCCGCGUGAAGGAUGAAGUAUUUCGGUAUGUAAACUUCGAAAGAAUAGGAAGAAUCAAUGACGGUACUAUUUAUAAGGUCCGGCUAACUACGUGCCAGCAGCCGCGGUAAUACGUAGGGACCAAGCGUUGUUCGGAUUUACUGGGCGUAAAGGGCGCGUAGGCGGCGCGGUAAGUCACUUGUGAAAUCUCUGAGCUUAACUCAGAACGGCCAAGUGAUACUGCAGUGCUAGAGUGUGGAAGGGGCAAUCGGAAUUCUUGGUGUAGCGGUGAAAUGCGUAGAUAUCAAGAGGAACACCUGAGGUGAAGACGGGUUGCUGGGCCAACACUGACGCUGAGGCGCGAAAGCCAGGGGAGCAAACGGGAUUAGAUACCCCGGUAGUCCUGGCCCUAAACGAUGAAUACUUGG